UACGUAGGGUGCAGGCGUUAAUCGGAAUUACUGGGCGUAAAGCGUGCGUAGGCGGUUUGUUAAGACAGGUGUGAAAUCCCCGGGCUCAACCUGGGAACUGCGCUUGUUACUGGCAGACUGGAGUGUGGCAGAGGGGGGUGGAAUUCCAGGUGUAGCAGUGAAAUGCGUAGAUAUCUGGAGGAACACCGAUGGCGAAGGCAGCCCCCUGGGCUAACACUGACGCUGAUGCACGAAAGCGUGGGGAGCAAACAGG
rnacentral:rRNA from 1 species